rnacentral:rRNA from 1 species
UACGUAGGGGGCAAGCGUUGUCCGGAAUUAUUGGGCGUAAAGAGCUCGUAGGCGGCCUGUUGCGUCCGCUGUGAAAUCCCGGGGCUUAACCCCGGGCGUGCAGUGGAUACGGGCAGGCUGGAGGCAGGCAGGGGAGAACGGAAUUCCCGGUGUAGCGGUGAAAUGCGCAGAUAUCGGGAGGAACACCGGUGGCGAAGGCGGUUCUCUGGGCCUGACCUGACGCUGAGGAGCGAAAGCGUGGGGAGCGAACAGG